UGAAGAGUGCAAAGGCAGAAGGGAGCUUGACUGCGACACCGACGGGUGGAGCAGGUACGAAAGUAGGACUUAGUGAUCCGGUGGUAUAAAGUGGGAUUGCCAUCGCUCAACGGAUAAAAGCUACCCUGGGGAUAACAGGCUUAUCACUCCCAAGAGUUCACAUCGACGGAGUGGUUUGGCACCUCGAUGUCGGCUCAUCGCAUCCUGGGGCUGUAGCAGGUCCCAAGGGUUGGGCUGUUCGCCCAUUAAAGCGGUACGCGAGCUGGGUUCAGAACGUCGUGAGACAGUUCGGUCCCUAUCCGGCGCGGGCGGAGGAUAUUUGAGAGGAGCUGUCCUUAGUACGAGAGGACCGGGAUGGACGGACCACUGGUGUAUCUGUUGUCGACCAACGGCAUGGCAGAGUAGCCAAGUCUGGAAGGGAUAAACGCUGAAGGCAUCUAAGCGUGAAGCCCCCCUCAAGAUGAGAUAUCCCUCCUUCGGGAGUAAGACCCCUUGAAGACUACAAGGUAGAUAGGGCAGAGGUGGAAGCAUGGCAACAUGUGGAGCUGACUGUUACUAAUAGGUCGAGGGCUUAAUCUG
rnacentral:rRNA from 1 species